UGGCUUCCAUCUGGAAGAAUCUGGAGACAGGUGCUGCAUGGCUGUCGUCAGCUCGUGUCGUGAGAUGUUGGGUUAAGUCCCGCACGAGCGCAACCCUUGCCUUUAGUUGCCAGCAGUUCGGCUGGCACUCUAAAGGGACUGCCGGUGUUAAACCGGAGGAAGGUGGGGAUGACGUCAAGUCCUCAUGGCCUUUAUGACCAGGGCUACACACGUACUACAAUGGCCGAUACAAAGGGCAGCGACACUGCGAGGUGAAGCCAAUCCCGUAAAAUCGGUCUCAGUCCGGAUUGGAGUCUGCAACUCGACUCCAUGAAGUUGGAAUCGCUAGUAAUCGUGGAUCAGCAUGCCACGGUGAAUACGUUCCCGGGCCUU
rnacentral:rRNA from 1 species